UACAACUUAGUAUAAAAUGUACUUAGAUUUUUGAUAUCUAGAGUGAUAGAAUUCUAUUAGUUGUAA
rnacentral:tRNA from 1 species